rnacentral:rRNA from 1 species
UACGUAGGGUGCAAGCGUUGUCCGGAAUUACUGGGCGUAAAGAGCUCGUAGGCGGUCUGUCGCGUCUGGUGUGAAAAUCCAGGGCUUAACCCUGGACCUGCAUCGGGUACGGGCAGACUAGAGUGCGGUAGGGGAGAUCGGAAUUCCUGGUGUAGCGGUGAAAUGCGCAGAUAUCAGGAGGAACACCGGUGGCGAAGGCGGCGACCUGGUCCGAUACUGACGCUGAGGCGCGAAAGCGUGGGGAGCAAACAGG